rnacentral:rRNA from 1 species
UACAGAGGGUGGCAAGCGUUGCUCGGGAAUUAUUGGGCGUAAAGCGCGUGUAGGCGGCUUUGCAAGUCGGGUGUGAAAGCCCUCAGCUCAACUGAGGAAGUGCGCCCGAAACUGCAGAGCUUGAGUGCCGGAGAGGGUGGCGGAAUUCCCCAAGUAGAGGUGAAAUUCGUAGAUAUGGGGAGGAACACCGGUGGCGAAGGCGGCCACCUGGACGGUAACUGACGCUGAGACGCGAAAGCGUGGGGAGCAAACAGG